rnacentral:rRNA from 1 species
CAAGUCGAACGGGGAUCACAGGGUUAGCAAUAACUCCGUGGUUCUAGUGGCGCACGGGUGAGUAACACGUGGGUAACCUGCCCUUGAGACUGGGAUACCCCCUCGAAAGGGGGGCUAAUACCGGAUACGUUCCUUGGAUCGAAAGGUCUGAGGAGGAAAGGUGGCGAAAGCUGCCGCUCUUGGAGGGGCUCGCGGCCUAUCAGCUAGUUGGCGGGGUAACGGCCCACCAAGGCUAUGACGGGUAGCUGGUCUGAGAGGACGACCAGCCACACGGGGACUGAGACACGGCCCCGACUCCUACGGGAGGCAGCAGUGGGGAAUUUUCCGCAAUGGGCGAAAGCCUGACGGAGUGACGCCGCGUGUGGGACGAAGGCCUUCGGGUCGUAAACCACUGUCAGUGGGAAAGAUGGGUGUCGGCGUGAUAACCGCCGGCAUUUGACGGUACCUGCAGAGGAAGCCCCGGCUAACUCUGUGCCAGCAGCCGCGGUAAGACAGAGGGGGCAAGCGUUGCUCGGAAUUACUGGGCGUAAAGGGCGCGUAGGCGGGAUGGCAAGUCGGUCGUGAAAUCCCUCGGCUCAACUGAGGAUCGUCGAUCGAUACUGCCGUUCUUGAGGAUUGCAGAGGAGACUGGAAUUCCCGGUGUAGCGGUGAAAUGUGUAGAGAUCGGGAGGAACACCGGUGGCGAAGGCGGGUCUCUGGGCAAUUCCUGACGCUGAGGCGCGAAAGCGUGGGGAGCAAACGGGAUUAGAUACCCCGGUAGUCCACGCUGUAAACGAUGACGACUAGGUGUGGGGGGGUUCAGUCCCUUCCGUGCCGCAGCUAACGCAUUAAGUCGUCCGCCUGGGGAGUACGGCCGCAAGGUUGAAACUCAAAGGAAUUGACGGGGGCCC